AUGUAGGGCAAUCUGUCUUUAAGUAGGGUAAAUUAAAGAAAACAAAACAAACAAAAAAGAAACCUAGAUAGUUUUCCCUUCAAGUCAAGCAUCUUUU
rnacentral:pre_miRNA from 1 species